UCUGCCCGCCUCCUAUACCUCUCCCUUCGGUUACUCUAUGGGAGAUCAAGCGCGAGUAGCCAGCCGAUGAGCCGCCUCGUUUCCCGGCGGAACCUCGUCGCCGCCGCGGCCAUCCGAUGAUCCCCCGCCACGCUCGCUUCCAGGUGGCUGCACACGCCAGCAUUUGCGAUGGUGAGGUCUCUGGUCAAGCCCAUGGGAAAUGCAAAAUUUCGCCAUUUUUGGAGAGUUUAUCUAUAUGCCCAAAGCAUGUGCUUCACAACCCACUUGGAGCUCCAGAGAGAAAACAACGAGUUGGGGCGCGGCAGGCAGGGGAGCGUCACCAGGGAGAUGGAAAUGUAUUGUGGGAAAAAGGACAGAGAUCCCCGAGCGUUUGCGAGAGGGGAUGGAGCGGCGACUGCGUUGACCCGACCAGUUGCAAGUGGAUGGAGCGGUGGCUGCACGGACAUGCUCCUGGAGGUGCCGGUAUGCACCCUCAUUUUGAGCCUGGGAGGAUCCUCGCCCUGUCCUGGCCUCAAGGGUGCUCAUCUACUUGGUAUCGUGCUCUGCAGUCAGAAUGAUGUGCUAAUGCAGGUUUGGUUUUUUACUUAUUCCUAUUUUCUAUGCAUAUCCCUGAAUUUUGCGAGCCAUGCUUUAAAUGCUGCUGUGUUUGCCAUUGUGUCAUGUAUAAUGACUCUUAUUGACGCACUGCUGCAACCCAGUUUGUUUAACAAAUUGAUGCAAGAAACAAACUAAUACAGAGAGAGUACAAGUUUUAUUGCACUAAUCUAUAUAUGCCCUGCAGUACCUCUGUGUUUGGCGAAAGGCAAAGAUGGAUAAAGUUUGUAGCUUUUUGUUCCCGGUUUUUCCCAUCGAAAUUAUGGAUUUAGAAGCUAAUCAUGGAUUGUUUCAAUUGCCUGCUAUAUUAUGGAUUUGCAAUGAGCACAAGCCUGCAAAGAAAAGCCGUUGCCGCUGAUGACAUAACACUGUGGCUGAGAUUUUUGAUUAUGUUAGUACAGACUUAUAUUACGUCGCAACAAGAAUGUAUAGAGCUCUAGAGCUCUGUGGAUCCUUCUCUUCACAAAAGGUGAGGUGCAGAGUUCAUGAUUUGUGCUUAUUAAAAACCGAAGAAAAGGAACGAGUUGCUUGAUAUGUUGACAGGUUGUAACAAAAACAUGCUUACAGUUCUAACAUGAAUUUGAUUGAACUGGGAGCUGUGACAUGCAAAUGUUUUAUGGUUGAUGGUUCUGUAACAUCGGUAAUUUGUAUAGAGUCUCUGGUUUCAUCUUCUUUGAUUAUAUAUUUUCUGGUCAAGAUUGAAACGCACUAUGCACCUGUUCUUUUUAUUGUAGUUCCAUUUUUUGUCAAAUUUAUAAAUUUUCUAUCAAUAGUAACAUAGACGUAUAUUGUUACUCUAUUUUGGAUUUUUGUUCACCCCAAAAUGCAAUAUAGAUCUGCCAUUGACAUUUUUUUGGAGCACUGGAUGAACAUUUGCUGAGAUGCUGAUAUGAAAAGCCUUUGUUUCCUCAUAAAAUGUUUUCCAUCGGUUAAACUUAUUGGAUGCAUGCAGUGGGCCUUUGGUUCCGCGAGCAUAUACGGGGGAGUUACAUCGCACGCAGAAGCUCGUUCUUGUCUUACUCGAUGACCAUUGUUUGCCCAGGAUCUAUAUCAAGAGUUAGAGAGUUUGUACGAGAUUUGUUAUCAGGAUCUUGCCGGUGACUGCUUGAACUUUAUACCAUGCACCUCUGCCUUACCCAGUGUGUGAACCUGCUGCGAUUCUGCCUAAGCGUGUUGCUAAGCAGAAUUUUUUUGCUUUUCAUUCUGAUGAGCAGUUGUGGUUUUCAGCAGCAAAGUCUUUGUGUUGAAAAUGAAAAAUACUUCUCUUUGUUAUUUUGUUUGUUUGUGCUGCUUCAUCUUCAUAGCACAAAGGGGCUUGCGCUAAUGUCUAAGACAGGAGCUUGUCACGGGUGUAUUGUAUAUAUUUAUUUAUAUGUUAUAUUUUUGAUGAAAAUGCAUCAGUGAGCUGAAUCCAUGUUACUUUUUGAGAAGGAAA